UACGAAGGGGGCUAGCGUUGCUCGGAAUCACUGGGCGUAAAGGGUGCGUAGGCGGGUCUUUAAGUCAGGGGUGAAAUCCUGGAGCUCAACCUCAGAACUGCCUUUGAUACUGAAGAUCUUGAGUUCGGGAGAGGUGAGUGGAACUGCGAGUGUAGAGGUGAAAUUCGUAGAUAUUCGCAAGAACACCAGUGGCGAAGGCGGCUCACUGGCCCGAUACUGACGCUGAGGCACGAAAGCGUGGGGAGCGAACAGG
rnacentral:rRNA from 1 species